GGCAGCCGACUGAGGGGGGCAAAGGAAGCCAGCAAACCACAUUUGCACGUUGUCUCCACCAUUAGACUGGAUGCUCCCAGAGGGCAGGAGAAGGAAACUGCCAGUUCCUAGCUCCAGCUCCCAGGAGUCCUAACACAGAUCUUAAGGACCGCUGUGUCUCUGCUCGAUUUGGAGUUCCAUGUGUGCCCCUAGGGUUUUCAGAAGGGUGGAGGAACCUUGCCGGUGGAAACAUUGUUAGUUUCCCUAUGUUGUAUUCUGAAUUAACUGUUGUUUGCUUAGAAUGUUUUAUGGCGACUUACAGAAACAGAAAAUAAAACUAUGUCAAAAGUAUGUGUGUGAAAGGAGGAAA